GACGGACGCUGGCGGCGUGCUUAACACAUGCAAGUCGAACGCUGAAGCUCAGCUUUUGUUGGGUGGAUGAGUGGCGAACGGGUGAGUAACACGUGAGUAACCUGCCUCCUUCUUUGGGAUAACGCCCGGAAACGGGUGCUAAUACUGGAUAUUCACUGGUCUUCGCAUGGGGGUUGGUGGAAAGGGUUUUUCUGGUGGGGGAUGGGCUCGCGGCCUAUCAGCUUGUUGGUGGGGUGAUGGCCUACCAAGGCUUUGACGGGUAGCCGGCCUGAGAGGGUGACCGGUCACAUUGGGACUGAGAUACGGCCCAGACUCCUACGGGAGGCAGCAGUGGGGAAUAUUGCACAAUGGGCGCAAGCCUGAUGCAGCGACGCCGCGUGAGGGAUGGAGGCCUUCGGGUUGUGAACCUCUUUCGCUCAUGGUCAAGCCGCAACAAUGGUUGUGGUGAGGGUAGUGGGUAAAGAAGCGCCGGCUAACUACGUG
rnacentral:rRNA from 1 species